GACGAACGCUGGCGGCGUGCUUAACACAUGCAAGUCGAACGAGAAGAGAUGAGAAGCUUGCUUCUUAUUGAUUCGAGUGGCAAACGGGUGAGUAACGCGUAAGCAACCUGCCCUUCAGAUGGGGACAACAGCUGGAAAUGACUGCUAAUACCGCAUAAGACCACAGUACCGCAUGGUGCAGGGGUAAAAACUCCGGUGGUAUGAGAUGGACCCGCGUCUGAUUAGGUAGUUGGUGGGGUAACGGCCUACCAAGCCGACGAUCAGUAGCCGACCUGAGAGGGUGACCGGCCACAUUGGGACUGAGACACGGCCCAA
rnacentral:rRNA from 1 species